AGCGGGGUAGGGCAGCCAGGAGUGCCCGAUGGGCUCAUAACCCAUAGGUCAUCAGUUCAAAUCUGAUCCCCGCUA
rnacentral:tRNA from 1 species